GAGAUCCAAAUUCCGGCACCAGAAAGUUACCGAUUGUGAUAGGCAAUGUCGACACUUUACCAUUAUGGCCUCAACAUAGCGAUAGUAAUGAAGAAUUUCUGGACAUGGAAAGUUUUUCUCAGAUGACCGUGAGAACAAAAUUACGUGAAAAACAUUGUGAAUUUCUGAAUGAUCCUGAAGGAUUUAUUGAAAAAGAAACGAGUGGUUCAACGAAAAAUUUCAUUACACUGCGGGCUUGGCUUACCAUGGUAGCAUUUUAUGUCAUUUUUUAUUUGGUCAACUGAACUUUAUUCUAUGAGGACGACAGUAAAUGUGUUGACAAUUGAUAAUUACAUAAUACAUAUAUAAAGAUUUCAUUGUCAUAGUUUGUAGUUUACUCUAGCUUAAUAAACAUGCAGAUUCUUAUACGAACUGUCUGUUGUAUAGACCAAUUUAAAAAAUGGUUGUUAUUCUUUUUUAUUCUGAAAUUCAUUUCAGCCAAGUAUUAGUAAUCACUCGUUUUUUAGAAUACUUCAAGACUCGGAGUAAUAUAGACUAUCAGUUUUACAAAAUUUAAAUAUAGGCUAACACACCAUGUAUUGUCUUUGAAUCAAAUUAAAUUUUAAAAUUACCAACGUUUGUGCUAGAUUUACCAAACAAUACUGACCAGCCUGGUGAUACUUAGUGC